GACGAACGCUGGCGGCGUGCUUAACACAUGCAAGUCGGACGGAAAGGCCCUGCUUUUGUGGGGUGCUCGAGUGGCGAACGGGUGAGUAACACGUGAGUAACCUGCCCUUGACUUUGGGAUAACUUCAGGAAACUGGGGCUAAUACCGGAUAGGAGCUCCUGCUGCAUGGUGGGGGUUGGAAAGUUUCGGCGGUUGGGGAUGGACUCGCGGCUUAUCAGCUUGUUGGUGGGGUAGUGGCUUACCAAGGCUUUGACGGGUAGCCGGCCUGAGAGGGUGACCGGCCACAUGGGGACUGAGAUACGGCCCAGACGCCUACGGGAGGCAGCAGUGGGGAAUAUUGCACAAUGGGCGGAAGCCUGAUGCAGCAACGCCGCGUGCGGGAUGACGGCCUUCGGGUUGUAAACCGCUUUCGCCUGUGACGAAGCGUGAGUGACGGUAAUGGGUAAAGAAGCACCGGCUAACUACGUG
rnacentral:rRNA from 1 species